UGGGGAAUAUUGGACAAUGGGCGAAAGCCUGAUCCAGCAAUGCCGCGUGAGUGAUGAAGGCCUUAGGGUUGUAAAGCUCUUUUACCAGGGAUGAUAAUGACAGUACCUGGAGAAUAAGCUCCGGCUAACUCCGUGCCAGCAGCCGCGGUAAUACGGAGGAUGCAAGCGUUAUCCGGAAUCAUUGGGCGUAAAGCGUCCGCAGGUGGUUAAUCAAGUCUGCUGUUAAAGACAGAAGCUCAACUUCUGGUCGGCGGUGGAAACUGGUGAACUAGAGUACGGUAGGGGUCGAGGGAAUUCCCAGAGUAGCGGUGAAAUGCGUAGAGAUUGGGAAGAACAACAGUGGCGAAGGCGCUCGACUGGGCCGUAACUGACACUCAGGGACGAAAGCUAGGGUAGCGAAAGGGAUUAGAUACCCCCGUAGUCC
rnacentral:rRNA from 1 species